rnacentral:rRNA from 1 species
UACGGAGGGAGCUAGCGUUGUUCGGAAUUACUGGGCGUAAAGCGCACGUAGGCGGCUUUGUAAGUUAGAGGUGAAAGCCUGGAGCUCAACUCCAGAAUUGCCUUUAAGACUGCAUCGCUUGAAUCCAAGAGAGGUGAGUGGAAUUCCGAGUGUAGAGGUGAAAUUCGUAGAUAUUCGCAAGAACACCAGUGGCGAAGGCGGCUCACUGGCCCGGUACUGACGCUGAGGUGCGAAAGCGUGGGGAGCAAACAGG